GGAAAUGGAAGAGGAGGUCUUCUUGGCCACACCCAAAUUGUGUGAUGCUUUGCCUUGGGAAGCUCAGAUGACUCCCUCUCUUGCUAUCUUGUACUGGUAUAAGAAAUGGUGAUUAAUGACUACUGCGAUCAUCAGCAACUUUCCUGGAAUCAUAAAAAGCUGGACAGUCCAUUAGUGAAGCUGAGAAAUGGACGUUAAACAGGGGAACAACAGGGAGCUAAAUGAACUGUCUUAUCUACAGAUGCAGUGAAGCAUUGCAAUGUAAUCUACACAGAGAUGAACAUUUCAUUCUAAGAAGACAAGCUUAUCUGAGCUGUAACCUGCGAAUCCAAUUG